UGCGCUCGAUUUGCUGGCGACGUGCGAUAGGGGGCUCCGAAUGUAAGGGCAUAUAGCCCUCGCUUUUCUGACCGUAAGGUGGUACAGGAACAAGGACUGGGCAAGACCGGUGCCAGCCGCCGCGGUAAUACCGGCAGUCCAAGUGAUGGCCGAUAUUAUUGGGCCUAAAGCGUCCGUAGCUUGCUGUGUAAGUCCAUUGGGAAAUCGACCAGCUCAACUGGUCGGCGUCCGGUGGAAACUACACAGCUUGGGGCCGAGAGACUCAACGGGUACGUCCGGGGUAGGAGUGAAAUCCUGUAAUCCUGGACGGACCACCAAUGGGGAAACCACGUUGAGAGACCGGACCCGACAGUGAGGGACGAAAGCCAGGGUCUCGAACCGGAUUAAAUACCCGGGUAGUCCUGGCUGUAAACAAUGCUCGCUAGGUAUGUCACGCGCCAUGAGCACGUGAUGUGCCGUAGUGAAGACAAUAAGCGAGCCGCCUGGGAAGUACGUCCGCAAGGAUGAAACUUAAAGGAAUUGGCGGGGGAGCACACC
rnacentral:rRNA from 1 species